UACGUAGGGUGCGAGCGUUGUCCGGAAUUAUUGGGCGUAAAGAGCUCGUAGGCGGUUUGUCGCGUCGGCUGUGAAAGCCCGGAGCUCAACUCCGGGUCUGCAGUCGAUACGGGCAGACUUGAGUGUUGCAGGGGAGACUGGAAUUCCUGGUGUAGCGGUGAAAUGCGUAGAGAUUAGGAAGAACACCAGUGGCGAAGGCGACUCUCUGGACCGUAACUGACGCUGAGGGAUGAAAGCGUGGGUAGCAAACAGG
rnacentral:rRNA from 1 species